AUGCAAUAGUAUUCUGGAAAAAAAUAAAUAAGCAAAAACUUGUCUAUUUAGAUUUGUCUACUUAUUAAGCAUCUAUAUCGUCGUUAGAUUAAUUUCAAUUAUUUAAUGUUCGUGUUAAUAUAAUCGAAUCCUUAGCGAGUAAAUCGUCUCUUGAUCAUCUCUUGACCGACUUAAUAGCGUUGACGAACUUGAGGGUCCUUAAAAAAUGAAUAGUCAACGGAUUUUAAACCUAUUCUAACUUUGGCUUUGUUUUUGUUUUCCUACAAGCAUGGUGGCUUUAACUGGUUUUUGUAAAAUUUUUUAGUUUUUCAUUCAAUAAAUCUGCUUGAUUAAUAAAAUUGGCUUAUUACAUUAAUUUUGAUGAAAGUUUGGAAAAGUUAGGACUUCAUGAUUCAAUCAUAUUUAUAAUAAAGUGAAGUUUGGACUGAUGUUCACGAAUUUAUACUACACAAGACGAUGGCUUUCACGAAAUUACGAUAAAAUUUGAGGGUAAUUUGGUCAAUUUCAUCGUCUUCAAAAUAUUUGUUACACUUAUUCCGGUAAGGGCAAUUUGGUCAUUUUCUAUAUGAUGAAAAUAAUAACAUAUGCAAAUAGUGAUGAGAUUGGAGGGUAACCUUGUCAUUUUCAUCGUCUUCAAAAUAUUUGUUUCACUUAUUCUGGCAAGGGCAAUCUAGUCAUUUUCUAUUUGAUAAAAAUAAUAACAUUUGCAAUUGUGAUGAAA